rnacentral:rRNA from 1 species
AGAGUUUGAUUAUGGCUCAGGAUGAACGCUGGCGGCGUGCUUAACACAUGCAAGUCGAACGAGGGUUAUCGGUUGAAGUUUUCGGAUGGAAACGGAUAAUUCCUAGUGGCGGACGGGUGAGUAACGCGUGGGGAACCUGCCCCAUUCCGGGGGAUACCAGUUGGAAACGACUGUUAAUACCGCAUAAGCGCACGGUACUGCAUGGUACAGUGUGAAAAAACUCCGGUGGAAUGGGGAUGGCCCCGCGUCUGAUUAGCCAGUUGGCAGGGUAACGGCCUACCAAAGCGACGAUCAGUAGCCGGCCUGAGAGGGCGACCGGCCACAUUGGGACUGAGACACGGCCCAAACUCCUACGGGAGGCAGCAGUGGGGAACAUUGCACAAUGGGGGAAACCCUGAUGCAGCGAACCGCCGCGUGAGUGAAGAAGUAUUUCGGUAUGUAAAGCUCUAUCAGCAGGGAAGAAGAUGACGGUACCUGCACAAGAAGCCCCGGCUAACUACGUGCCAGCCGCUGC